AUAUUUCACUGACUGCUGCUUAUACCACAGGUUAAUACACUCUACUGAUCCCUGAUGGGAGAAUCAUCACCUCUGCCAGCAAAGAAGCCUGGUGGAUGUUUGUUUACAGUCUGAUGAUGCGACAUCAUGCUCUGCAUCUUCAAAGUUUGUCUCUUGAUCAUCAUUCAUACACAUUUCCCAGCAUGCUCUGGCUGUGGUGGUGGAGGUAUAUGAGGGGGAGACUUCUGUCCUCUUGCACUAUGUUUACAAAGGUUCGAUAC
rnacentral:lncRNA from 1 species